rnacentral:rRNA from 1 species
AGUGAACGCUGGCGGUAGGCCUAACACAUGCAAGUCGAACGGCAGCACAGUAAGAGCUUGCUCUUACGGGUGGCGAGUGGCGGACGGGUGAGGAAUACAUCGGAAUCUACUUUUUCGUGGGGGAUAACGAAGGGAAACAUACGCUAAUACCGCAUACGACCUACGGGUGAAAGCAGGGGAUCUUCGGACCUUGCGCGAGUGAAUGAGCCGAUGUCGGAUUAGCUAGUUGGCGGGGUAAAGGCCCACCAAGGCGACGAUCCGUAGCUGGUCUGAGAGGAUGAUCAGCCACACUGGAACUGAGACACGGUCCAGACUCCUACGGGAGGCAGCAGUGGGGAAUAUUGGACAAUGGGCGCAAGCCUGAUCCAGCCAUACCGCGUGGGUGAAGAAGGCCUUCGGGUUGUAAAACCCUUUUGUUGGGAAAGAAAAGCAGCAGGUUAAUACCCCGCUGUUCUGACGGUACCCAAAGAAUAAGCACCGGCUAACUUCGUG